UACAGAGGUCCCCAAGCGUUGUUCGGAUUCAUUGGGCGUAAAGGGUGCGUAGGCGGCGCGGUAAGUCGGGUGUGAAAUCUCGGAGCUUAACUCCGAAACUGCAUUCGAUACUGCCGUGCUUGAGGACUGGAGAGGAGACUGGAAUUUACGGUGUAGCGGUGAAAUGCGUAGAUAUCGUAAGGAAGACCAGUGGCGAAGGCGGGUCUCUGGACAGUUCCUGACGCUGAGGCACGAAGGCCAGGGGAGCAAACGGG
rnacentral:rRNA from 1 species